GUCACUUUAUCUACUUUAAAAACGUUGACUAUUAUUUGUUAUUAAUAUUAGUAUCUAAAAAAUAAUUAGUCUACAUCAAAGUCAUGAAAAUGAACAUUUUAAUUGAUAACCAAGAAAACAUGUAAAUGAAAUAACUUUCAAUGUAACUUAAAUAGCAUUCUCGGAGAAGUUUAUCGUAUCAUUCAUCGUUAUUUAUAAAACCAUCUGGUCGGAGUUAUUAAAUCGUCGAAAAGAGCAAUUAUCUUCUUCUAAAUCAGAGUGGUCAUGGUCAUCAUGUUGGAAGAGGCAAACUUGACGCAUCUUAGGAAGUCUCGUCCGCUCCCUGCUUGAGAUCCUCCUGUAGCAUUUUAAGGGAUCUCCCACUGAAGUCCUGAUUUGGUCAGUCCACUGCAUUUGCAACCUUCAGUGCGGCCUUGUGUCGUCAAGCUUUUCUUGAAUGACGACGCGUUUUACGGACUGGUUAUCUCUUCGUGAAACGAAUCCAUCUGAGACAUAUUAAUCUGAAAUUAAUAGUAAAUAUCUUUAUGUAUUUUUUGUACUCAAGUUCCUGAUUCCAAGCACCUUAGUUCCCUUAACUUCUAUCUCGAGUAACAAUGAUGAGCGUUGUGAGUUUGUACGCGUAGCUUCACCGUCAUUUUUUAGCCCCGUGUGUUUCGAUUUCAAGGAAGGGACAACCGUUGCAACCAAUAUAUAACAUUUUAAGUCUGUCAAUUUAAAAAAAAAUGAAGAUCUGAAAUUUGAAGUUGAAACUAUUUACAAAUGCUACCAAUGAAAUGUGUUCACUUUUAGUUUAUUAAUUAACAUUACUUUUAAUAUUAGCUUAGCCAAAUUAAUAGCUAAAUUUGGCUACCAGUAUCAGUAUCAGCAAAUAUCAACAUUUUUUGUCAUUUAACUUUGUGUUAUUAAGUUCUCCAAAAAUGUGAAAGUAGAAUCGUGAAGAAAUAAGCGAAUUAAUUAUUGAGAAACAUUUUUACGAUUCGUCACAAGUGUUGAGUUUCACAGCCGAUACGUCACCCUAAUUGCUACAAAAUGUUUCAUACGCACAACAAUGCAAAUUGUAUUUCGUCAGCGACACUUUAAGAAUGUAAUUAGAGAGGGAGAGAGAGAGAGAGAGAAAGUGACGAGAAUGAUUUCCAAUGAAAUACGUGAAUACUUGAACACUUUAAUAUUAUGUCGUUUUCAUACGGGAAUUCUGAAGAGUUACUCGCAAUUUUCCCGAAAAUAAAUAAAUAAAGUAAUUGUGUAAAUAAAUGAAAGUUUUUAGAA